rnacentral:lncRNA from 1 species
UCGGGCUAUAAUUGUAAAGUCGGGUUUCUGCGUUUUGAUGCUACACUAAUGUUUCAGGUUAAGUUGAAGUUCAGUGCCAGUUGAAACGUUUAAACUGGCUGCAUUUGUUUGCACAUGUCAUAAGGCAGAACCGUUUUUUGUUAAAUGGUUGUCGUUAGUUGAUGUGGUUGAUAAGUGCUUUUCGUUUUUCGUUUUUCAUAUAGAUUAUACAGUUUUUUUCUUUUUUUAAAUGGUUUUAAACUAUUAAUUUUUGGAGCCUUUCAUAGCUUGCUGUUCUUUGUGAGCCAAGGAUUUGUUUUCAAAUAAAGUCAUCAUAGAUACCAGGACUAAAUUUAGUAUAUACGCCAGACGCGCGUUUCGUCUACAAGGCAGUACCUUGACCUAUAAACAUGAUAAUGGUUUAAAUUACAAAUUGCGAUUGGAUUGAGAGUUGUCUCCUUGGCACUGAUACCAAAUCUUCUUAUAUAUACCUUUUAUAGAUAAAAAAAAAUAACAAACAAGCAAACAAGUUCAUGAUGUUAUUGGUUCCUGAACAAUUAAAAACUUUAAUUUGCUAUUACUGUAUUUCAUAAAGACACGUAGCGUAAACAAGUACCAACAUUUUAGUUAACUUUCUUUAAAUUUUGUUAGUAUAAGAAUUAAGAAUAACAAAUGUAUGAAUGCCAGCGAUGCAACAAUUAUCCAGAAUGCAAAUGUUAAGCAAUAUGAUAAGAUAAACAGGCUGCAGAUCCCUAAAUGCGGAAAUAAAAAGCAAAUUUCAAAUUUAUGUGUAAAACAAUUGUUUAAAACGAUUUUGUAUUUGGAAAGUUUACGUUAAAACGGACAAAUGACAUGUUAAACAUUUUUUUUAAAACCACACUAAUUUUCUUUAAAGUCAGAACUGUAAAUAGUCUAUUGCGAAUCCGAAUUUGUAGUAUAUGUAACUGUUAUAACGGAUA